UACGUAGGGGGCAAGCGUUGUCCGGAAUUAUUGGGCGUAAAGAGCGUGUAGGCGGUCCGGUAAGUCAGCUGUGAAAGUCAAGGGCUCAACCCUUGAAUGCCGGUUGAUACUGUCGGGCUAGAGUCCGGAAGAGGCGAGUGGAAUUCCCGGUGUAGCGGUGAAAUGCGCAGAUAUCGGGAGGAACACCAAUGGCGAAGGCAGCUCGCUGGGACGGUACUGACGCUGAGGAGCGAAAGCGUGG
rnacentral:rRNA from 1 species